rnacentral:rRNA from 1 species
UACGUAGGGUCCGAGCGUUGUCCGGAAUCACUGGGCGUAAAGGGCGCGUAGGCGGCCUGCUAAGUAGAGGGUGAAAUCCUGCGGCUCAACCGCAGGGCUGCCUUCUAAACUGUCAGGCUGGAGCACGGUAGAGGCAGAUGGAAUUCCCGGUGUAGCGGUGGAAUGCGUAGAGAUCGGGAAGAACACCAGUGGCGAAGGCGGUCUGCUGGGCCGUUGCUGACGCUGAGGCGCGACAGCGUGGGGAGCAAACAGG